rnacentral:lncRNA from 1 species
CUUUUAGUGAACACAAAUUGAGAAUUUAGCACUGAAUCUCCAAAGAUUUAGUUUUUAUCUAGGUUUUGAAAUUGAAUUUUGUUUUGUUUUGUUUUUUGUUUUGAGACAGUGUCGCUCUGUCGCCCAGGCUGGAGUGCAGCCGCGCAAUCUCGGCUCACUGCAGGCUCCGCCCCCCGGGUUCACGCCAUUCUCUCGCCUCAGCCUCCCGAGUAGCUGGGACUACAGGCGCCCGGCGAAUUUUUUGUAUUUUUUGUAGAGACGGGGUUUCACCGUGCAAGUAUCAUACUUACUAUAUGUUUUUUAUCUUCUGUGUAUUUUGAAAAUGUAAGAGCAUUAUUGUCUUAUACAAAAUAGGUGCUAGCAGAGUGAAGAGACAACCAAUCUUUGAAGCUUUGGCACUGUAAUAUAUGAAGGCCAGAAGCCACAUUUAUAUAGUUCCGUUUCUUGAGCAUCCAAGACAAUGGAUGAGAUGACAGUGUUGA